AGCCUAUUAGCCCAAUUGGUAGAGUUAUGUUCUUUUCCACAUGAUGUAGGUUCGAAUCCUACAUAGGCUA
rfam:Spinacia oleracea cultivar SynViroflay scaffold70063.con0002.1, whole genome shotgun sequence.